rnacentral:rRNA from 1 species
AUUGAACGCUGGCGGCAUGCCUAACACAUGCAAGUCGAACGAAGCCUUCGGGCUUAGUGGCGCACGGGUGCGUAACACGUGGGAAUCUGCCCUUUGGUUCGGAAUAACAGUUAGAAAUGACUGCUAAUACCGGAUAAUGACGUAAGUCCAAAGAUUUAUCGCCGAAGGAUGAGCCCGCGUAGGAUUAGGUAGUUGGUGAGGUAAUGGCCCACCAAGCCGACGAUCCUUAGCUGGUCUGAGAGGAUGAUCAGCCACACUGGGACUGAGACACGGCCCAGACUCCUACGGGAGGCAGCAGUGGGGAAUAUUGGACAAUGGGCGAAAGCCUGAUCCAGCAAUGCCGCGUGAGUGAUGAAGGCCUUAGGGUUGUAAAGCUCUUUACCAGGGAUGAUAAUGACAGUACCUGGAGAAUAAGCUCCGGCUAACUCCGUGCCAGCAGCCGCGGUAU